rnacentral:rRNA from 1 species
UGCUACUGAUCUUAGCGGCGGACGGGUGAGUAAUGCUUAGGAAUCUGCCUAUUAGUGGGGGACAACAUUUCGAAAGGAAUGCUAAUACCGCAUACGUCCUACGGGAGAAAGCAGGGGAUCUUCGGACCUUGCGCUAAUAGAUGAGCCUAAGUCGGAUUAGCUAGUUGGUGGGGUAAAGGCCUACCAAGGCGACGAUCUGUAGCGGGUCUGAGAGGAUGAUCCGCCACACUGGGACUGAGACACGGCCCAGACUCCUACGGGAGGCAGCAGUGGGGAAUAUUGGACAAUGGGCGCAAGCCUGAUCCAGCCAUGCCGCGUGUGUGAAGAAGGCCUUAUGGUUGUAAAGCACUUUAAGCGAGGAGGAGGCUACUUUAGUUAAUACCUAGAGAUAGUGGACGUUACUCGCAGAAUAAGCACCGGCUAACUCUGUGCCAGCAGCCGCGGUAAUACAGAGGGUGCAAGCGUUAAUCGGAUUUACUGGGCGUAAAGCGCGCGUAGGCGGCUAAUUAAGUCAAAUGUGAAAUCCCCGAGCUUAACUUGGGAAUUGCAUUCGAUACUGGUUAGCUAGAGUGUGGGAGAGGAUGGUAGAAUUCCAGGUGUAGCGGUGAAAUGCGUAGAGAUCUGGAGGAAUACCGAUGGCGAAGGCAGCCAUCUGGCCUAACACUGACGCUGAGGUGCGAAAGCAUGGGGAGCAAACAGGAUUAGAUACCCUGGUAGUCCAUGCCGUAAACGAUGUCUACUAGCCGUUGGGGCCUUUGAGGCUUUAUUGGCGCAGCUAACGCGAUAAGUAGACCGCCCGGGGAGUACGGUCGCAAGACUAAAACUCAGAUGAAUUGACGGGGGCCCGCACAAACGGUGGAGCAUGUGGUUUAAUUCGAUGCAACGCGAA